AACGAACGCUUGCGGCAGGCAUAACACAUGCAAGUCAGGCGCCCCGCAAGGGGAGCGGCAGACGGGUGAGUAACGAGUGGGAAUCUACCCUUUUCUACGGAAUAACGCAGAGAAACUUGUGCUAAUACCGUAUGUGCCCUUCGGGGGAAAGAUUUAUCGGGAAAGGAUGAGCCCGCGUUGGAUUAGCUAGUUGGUGGGGUAAAAGCCUACCAAGGCGACAAUCCAUAGCUGGUCUGGGAGGAUGAUCAGCCACAUUGGUACUGAGACACGGCCCAACCUCCACCGGGAGGCAGCAGUGGGUAAUAUUGGACAAUGGGCGCAAGCAUGAGCCAACCAUGCGGCGUGAGUGAUGAAGGCACUAGGGUUGUAAAGCUCUUUCACCGGUGAAGAUAAUGACGGUAACCGGUGAAGAAGCCCCGGCUAACUUCGUGCCAGCCGCCGCCGUAACAC
rnacentral:rRNA from 1 species